UAGGCAUUGGCCUUUACUACCAUUCGUAGCACAACCAUCUUCCUCACCACACCAACCCCUUCUCCUGUAUCGCUAGCUUACAAUUAAACCUCUUCUCCUCUCCCUACCUCACCUCUGUCCAAGUCCCACCCACCAUAUCAGACAUUCAAGAUGUUACCAAUCUCAUUAAUAUGACCCAACAACUUCAUUGUGGGGAACCGAUUCUGGAAUCAGAUUUGUCCCAAGACGGUGUGGUAGGGUACGCUUGGUCACCUAAGUAAGCACUAUGCUAACAAAGAGAUGGCUAUCAGGUAACAGACUCUUCCUCCAUUUGGACUUGCUACGGUCCUUGGCUUAAGGCCCCUAACC
rnacentral:misc_RNA from 1 species